rnacentral:rRNA from 1 species
GAUGAACGCUGGCGGCGUGCCUAAUACAUGCAAGUCGAGCGAAGCGGGGACGGGUGAGAAUCACGUGGAUAACCUCCUAUAAGACUGGGGUAACUUCGUGAAAACGGAGCCAAUCCGGAUUCUUAUCGCUGGAUCGAUGCUGCAGUAGCUAGUUGGUAAGGUAACGGCUUACCAAGGCAACGAUGCCUAGCCGACCUGAGAGGAUGAUCGGCCACACUGGAACUGAGACACGGUCCAGACUCCUACGGGAGGCAGCAGUGGGGAAUCGUCCGCAAUGGGCGAAAGCCUGACGGAGCAAUGCCGCGUGAAUGAUGAAGGUCUUCGGAUCGUAAAGCUCUGUUAGUAGGGAAGCGUUACCUGCUCAGAAAGCCACGGCUAACUACGUGCCAGCAGCCGCGGUAAUUC